CAGCUAUAACAUGUUGAAACACCAGUUCUCAUGUGAUCACCAAAAUUAAGCAUCGUUGAGCCUGGUCAGUACCUAGAUGGGUGACUGCUUGGUUAUACAAGGUGCUGUAAG